rnacentral:rRNA from 1 species
GGCUAACGCUGGCGGCGUGUCUUAGCCAUGCAAGUCGAGCGGACUUAUGGGGUAACUUAUAAGUCAGCGGCGGACGGCGGAGUAACACGUAGCUAACCUACCCUCUGGACGGGGAUAACCUACCGAAAGGUGGGCUAAUACCCGAUGUAGUCAUCCUGUAUAGGGGUGAUGAAAGGUGGGCUUCUGUUUACAAGCUCAUGCUGGAGGAGGGGGCUGCGGCCUAUCAGGUAGUUGGUAGGGUAAUAGCCUACCAAGCCGAUGACGGGUAGCCGGCCUGAGAGGGUGACCGGCCCGAGGGGCACUGAGAUACGGGUCCCACUCCUACGGGAGGCAGCAGGCUAGAAAUUUGGGCAAUGGGGGAAACCCUGACCCAGUGACGCCGCGUGCAGGAAGGAGCCCUUCGGGGUGUAAACUGCUGUCGUGUAGGGAGAAGGGUACUAAGGUGAACAAUCUUAGUACUUGACGGUACUACAGGAGGAAGCCCAGGCUAACCUCGUGCCAGCAGCCGCGAAAGCUACGUAGA